UACGAAGGGGGCUAGCGUUGCUCGGAAUCACUGGGCGUAAAGGGUGCGUAGGCGGGUCUUUAAGUCAGAGGUGAAAUCCUGGAGCUCAACUCCAGAACUGCCUUUGAUACUGAAGAUCUUGAGUUCGGGAGAGGUAAGUGGAACUGCGAGUGUAGAGGUGAAAUUCGUAGAUAUUCGCAAGAACACCAGUGGCGAAGGCGGCUCACUGGCCCGAUACUGACGCUGAGGCACGAAAGCGUGGGGAGCAAACAGG
rnacentral:rRNA from 1 species